rnacentral:lncRNA from 1 species
AAGGCGCAGCCCUACCUCUCUCUUCGUCCUCCUUCGCAGCGCUUGGCGAAGCCCUGCCGGAGAACCACAUAGCUCCACCGUCACCACGCCGUCGUGCUGCCGGAGCUCUCCCUCAACUUCUCCUCUCUCCUUGCUGGAUCAAGAAGGAGGAGACGUCAUCUGGAUGUACGUGUGUUGAACGCAGAGGCACCAUCGUUUGGUGCAUAGAUCAAAAUCCACCACAAUCUGAAUUGCUG